rnacentral:lncRNA from 1 species
UUGACAUUCAUGUCAUAUGGAAAACUGAAGGAGCAGAGGGAGGCAUUUAUUUCCAGAAGAGGUCAGAGAGCAUAAUCAGGGGACAGAGACUAAUAUUUGGCUUUCUUAGAAGACUGGGUUUUUAUUAAAGAUGUGGUUCUCCUUUCAAAUUAGUCUUAUGUCUCCCAAGAAAGACAUCAUGGGAAUGUCAAGAUUGAUCCAUUAAUAUCUUUUGUCUGUCAUCUAAGUGCCGCUCUUAGGAUGAUUAGAGUGUCAGAAAGGUGA